UACGUAGGGGGCAAGCGUUGUCCGGAUUUAUUGGGCGUAAAGCGCUCGCAGGUGGUUUGCUGCGUCGUGCGUGAAAGACCCCGGCUCAACUGGGGAGGGUCGUGCGAUACGGGCAGACUGGAGGCCAGUAGGGGGAUGCGGAAUUCCGGGUGUAGUGGUGGAAUGCGUAGAGAUCCGGAGGAACACCAGCGGCGAAGGCGGCAUCCUGGACUGGUCCUGACACUCAUGAGCGAAAGCGUGGGGAGCGAUCCGG
rnacentral:rRNA from 1 species